AAUUCACAGUGUUUAAAAAAAAAGUUUUCUUUUUACAAAAUCAAAACUUCUUAAACUUCAGAGGUCUAAGAGCUUAUGAAAAUUUCUAUAGCUGCGGCAUUGCCAGAGUCCUCAGCUGUAUCCCUAAAACACGAAUACCAUAGUAUCAAUGUCCCAAUCAAUGUUAGCCAAUCUAAGUAUAGCCAUAGGUAUGCCUUCAUGGAGCCCAGGGGACCAUAUACCAAAAAUAGUCAUACUGCUCUAGCGGCACACCAUCUCCAGGAUGCAGGUAGCAUUGUAUUGCUAUUGUCAUUGAUGGUAUCAUGGCAGCGCGCAAUCCUUUCUAACUGAAUUGCCUCUAAAGUAGUCAGGCCCCUAAUGUUAUGUACAGGUUUUAUUAUA
rnacentral:lncRNA from 1 species